rnacentral:rRNA from 1 species
CGGCCGGGAACUCAAAGGAGACUGCCAGUGAUAAACUGGAGGAAGGUGGGGAUGACGUCAAGUCAUCAUGGCCCUUACGAGUAGGGCUACACACGUGCUACAAUGGCGCAUACAAAGAGAAGCGAACUCGCGAGAGCAAGCGGACCUCAUAAAGUGCGUCGUAGUCCGGAUCGGAGUCUGCAACUCGACUCCGUGAAGUCGGAAUCGCUAGUAAUCGUGGAUCAGAAUGCCACGGUGAAUACGUUCCCGGGCCUUGUACACACCGCCCGUCACACCAUGGGAGUGGGUUGCAAAAGAAGUAGGUAGCUUAACCUUCGGGAGGGCGCUUACCACUUUGUGAUUCAUGACUGGGGUGAAGUC